ensembl:snRNA U6 U6 spliceosomal RNA
GUGCUCGCUUUGGCAGCACAUAUACUAAAAUUGGAAGGAUACAGAGAAGAUUAGCAUGGCUCCUGCACAAGGAUGACACGCAAAUUUGUGAAGCAUUCCAUAUUUAA